AUGACCCUCCAAACUCAGGCUUACCACAUAGUUAACCCUAGCCCCCUGACCACUAACAGGAGUCCUUUCAGCACUACUUAUAACUUCUGGCCUAGCCAUAUGAUUUCAUUUUAACUCAACUGCCUUCCUGACUUUGGGCUACUAACCAAUACAUUAACAAUAUAUCAAUGAUGAUGCGAUAUUAUCCGAGAAGGCCCAUUCCAAGGCCACCAUACAUCAACUGUUCAAAAAGGCCUUUCAUACAGAAAAAUCUUACUCAUUAUUUCAGAGGUGUUCUUUUUCCGCCAGCUUCUUCUGAGCAUUCUAUCACUCUAGCCCAGCCCCCACUCCAGAAUUAGGAGGAUGCUGGCCUCCAACAAGCAUCUCUCCCCCUAGCCUCUUAGAAGUCCCUUUUCUUAAUACAUCUGUUUUACUUGCAUCCGGGGUUUCAAUUACUUGGGCUCACCAAAGCUUGAUAGAAGGUAAUCAAAAAUACAUACUUCAGGCACUGUGUAUCACAAUUGCCCUAGGCAUUUACUUUACACCUCUACAAGCCUCAGAAUAUUUUGAAGUCCCUUUCACUAUCUCUGCUGGAGUUUACAGCUCAACAUUCUUCAUAGCCACAGGUUUUCACGGGCUUCACGUUAUUAUUGGAUCAACAUUUCUUACUGUCUGCCUACUCCGCCAACUAAAAUUUCAGUAUACAUCUAACUGCCAUUGUGGAUUUGAAGCCUCAGUCUGAUACUGGCACUUUGUAGAUGUAAUAUGACUAUUCCUAUAUGUUUCUAUCUAUUAACAAGGA
rnacentral:lncRNA from 1 species